GACGAACGCUGGCGGCGUGCUUAACACAUGCAAGUCGAGCGGUAAGGCCCUUUCGGGGGUACGACGAGCGGCGAACGGGUGAGUAACACGUGGGUGACCUGCCCUCAGCUCUGGGAUAAGCCUGGGAAACUGGGUCUAAUACCGGAUAUGACUCCAUGACGCAUGUUGUGGGGUGGAAAGCCUUGUGCGGCUGAGGAUGGGCCCGCGGCCUAUCAGCUUGUUGGUGGGGUGANGGCCUACCAAGGCGACGACGGGUAGCCGGCCUGAGAGGGCGACCGGCCACACUGGGACUGAGACACGCCCCAGACUCCUACGGGAGGCAGCAGGUGGGGAAUCUUGCGCAAUGGGCGAAAGCCUGACGCAGCGACGCCGCGUGAGGGAGUGACGGCCGUCGGUU
rnacentral:rRNA from 1 species